rnacentral:rRNA from 1 species
AACGAACGCUGGCGGCGUGUUUAAGACAUGCAAGUCGAACGGGUUGAAGUUGUAGCAAUACCGCUUCAACCAGUGGCGCACGGGUGCGUAACACGUGAGUUACAUGCCCUGCAGUGGGGAAUAGCCCGCCGAAAGGCGGAUUAAUACCCCAUGGUCCCGCAAGGGUAAAGGUGGCGCAAGCUGCCGCUGCAGGAUUGGCUCGCGGCCUAUCAGCUAGUUGGCGAGGUAACGGCUCACCAAGGCGACGACGGGUACCUGGUCUGAGAGGAUGAUCAGGCACACUGGAACUGAGACACGGUCCAGACACCUACGGGUGGCAGCAGUCGAGAAUAAUUCACAAUGGGGGAAACCCUGAUGGUGCAACGCCGCGUGGAGGAUGUAGGUCUUCGGAUUGUAAACUCCUGUCAUCGGGGAGUAAGACCUGGGCGUGAAUAGCGCACAGGGUUGAUAGUACCCGAAGAGGAAGGGACGGCUAACUUCGUGCCAGCAGCCGCGGUAAUAC